rnacentral:rRNA from 1 species
UCUGGCUCAGGACGAACGCUGGCGGCGUGCCUAACACAUGCAAGUCGAGCGAGGAGAUCCUCGGGAUGAUCCUAGCGGCGGACGGGUGAGUAACACGUGGGCAACCUGCCUCAUAGAGAGGAAUAGCCUUCCGAAAGGGAGAUUAAUACCUCAUAACAUUGCAGUUUCGCAUGGAACAGCAAUUAAAGGAGUAAUCCGCUAUGAGAUGGGCCCGCGGCGCAUUAGCUAGUUGGUGAGGUAACGGCUCACCAAGGCGACGAUGCGUAGCCGACCUGAGAGGGUGAUCGGCCACAUUGGGACUGAGACACGGCCCAGACUCCUGCGGGAGGCAGCAGUGGGGAAUAUUGCACAAUGGGGGAAACCCUGAUGCAAGCAACGCCGCGUGAGUGAUGACGGCCUUCGGGUUGUAAAGCUCUGUCUUCAGGGACGAUAAUGACGGUACCUGAGGAGGAAGCCACGGCUAACUACGUGCCAGCAGCGGC